rnacentral:lncRNA from 1 species
GGCUUGAAGACGAAAUAAAUCUAUAUUUGUAAGGGGUUUUGUGUAGCUUCGGAAGCCAAUACAUAGUUGGGACUUUCAUUGUAUUUGGCUCUGCUUGUAAAGCGGUGGCUAAAAGUUUAUGUUUGUUACAGAUUUCGUUUUCUGAAAAUAGAGUCAGUUGGAAUGUUGGUGAAUUGGUGAUUUCCUUUUUCAGAACCUCAAUGUAAAAUUUACGUCAAACAAUAAUAAUAUUAUUAGCAGCUUUAUCGGCCGGGACAAAAACAAAUUCCUUGGC